AUCACUUCUUGGCCUUUUGGCUAAGAUGAAAUACAGUAUCUGUUCUUAUCAGUUCAAUAUCUGAUACACCCUCUAUUCAAAGACAAUAUAUUAAAUGGAUUUUUGGAAUUGGGAGGUGGAAUAGGAGCUUGCUCCAUCAACUCCACACAUCGACCCUGUAUUGCAAUACUUCUGGGAACAGUACAUAUGGA